UCGUGUUGCUUAUUGGAGAAAAUUUGUUGCUGAGUAUUAUGCUUCUUGUGCUAAGAAACGAUGGUGCUAGAUUUCAUGCCAUUGGUGUGUUCUCCCAGGCAGAUGUGGUCAGCUGUCAGUACUUUUUUCCAGCGUCGAAAUACUGAUAUUUGUGACAUAUUUUUUAUUAUCCACCAUAAACAUAAAUAGAUGCACACACUUGUUUCAGUUCUUUGUGCAUAAUACCCCCUAUACCCAUUCCAUAUAAUCUUUCCUCACUCCUUAUCCUAUUUGUUCCCUGUUUUUUUUUUUUCCUUUCCCAGGCUACAUGGCAUUGUGACUUGAGCUGGGCCAAAUCUGGGGGGGGAUUUGGUAAGCAAAUCAGCACUACAUUUUUUUCAGUCAGUCAAUAUGUUGCUUUCUAAAACAAAAAACAGUUCAUCAUUGCUAUGUUGCUAAAAUUUUGUAAAUUAUUAUGUCGACCUUCAUCAGCCACUGACUGUCUAAAUUCGCUACUGUUGGAGACCCUCAUGUCUCACUUAAAAGCUUGAGUAUUAGCUGAAGGCUAAAGUUCUAUAUUCUUAACAGUUUGCCAUGGAACAUUUUAUCAUUUUUUUUUCUUUAAAUUCUUGGAAGAGGAAACAUUUGAAGUACUUUCCAGGUUGAAUAAGAAGCAGAAAGGGAGACUGUUAAUGACCAGCUUCAUGUUGUUCAUGAGGGUAAACUUAGUAUCAUUAUUGUUCAUAAUUUAAAGAUACUUUCCUGGGAAUUUUGUUCAAGGGACCUUGAAGAGCUGUGUUGCCUUGAAGUUCAAUUCUAUCUAAGGUUAAUGAGCUGGUUUAUGCUUCAAAAAAGUAUCGAUCCACCAUUGAUGAUAUUGGAUCAGAUAGUAUAUCACCAUUUGAUUUACAAGAAAAUUGCAACAUAUAAGAAACUCUUUUUAUUUCCUGCAGUUACUAGCUCCAUGAAAUGAAUUGGUCAAGCAUGUAUCCAUGUAUGUAAUUUCGAGCAGCAAACAAAUUACACCCACACUUUUUUCGUAUUGUGUUCUCUUGAUAGUUACCGUGGUCUCAAUUUUUCAAUCUUCAAGUCAUAUUUGAAAAACUUGUUUUUGGAAAUGAUAUUAUAAAAACUUAAAUGAAUCUUGUUCGUCAUGUAGGCCAUUAUCAGCUUGGUCUGAGAGAAAUUUGGACUUGUGCUUGCCCGUGUGCGGAGGGAAUUUGUUUUGAUUUGUCUAACAGUCAUCUAAAUCCUACUCAGGAUCUCAUGUAUUCUGGGUUCAUUGCUUGACAGAUUGUUGACAUAUUCGACUGUAUGAAAGACUUGAGGACUUUCAGGUGGGAUAAUAAAAUUGAACCGAUCGGUAAGUGAUAUCUACUUUAUUAUGCAUUUGAGUGUCAUCUUAAAAGGAGACAACUGAAAACCCUUGGAAGUAGCUGCUUGAACCCUCUAAAUCUCUGUUUCUUCUGAUAUUGCCUUGUAAACUUUAAUUUAUUUACUUGUUAAAGCAGUGGCCAAUGGAUUCUUGCAAAGUCAUUUCUCAAAACUCUAAAACACAGAGAGCUUGAAGAAAUAUUCCCAAAAAUUAUCCACAACCAAACUCCAGAAAGAUCAAUCGCAAGAAAACGAUCAGCUUGGGGUCCCUCAAUGUUUUCCAACUGACCCAAAUAAGUUGUCUACUUCUCAUUUCCUUUUGGAAACAGCAAUGAUAACUCGAUUAUGAGCAAGGGUGGACUAUUGAAUAGCUCUGAUAUGGGCGUCACUGUAUAUUUCCGAAGUUUUGCUUUAGCUCAAAUGUGGGUAAACUGGAGCGGCCAUCCCUUUUAUACGAGAGGUGUGAAAGAAGUGCAUCUUCCACACCAUCUCAAGCUCCCAAGACUUUGAGUAUUCAUGCAGCGUGGGCAUUUCUCUGUCUCCAAUCCUGCGGAGGUAGCCAGCAUUGACUGGAGCAUGCAGUCCAAAUUUUGCUUGAGGAGAACAUCAUUAGGGCCCAGGACAAAGCAGUUAGCUCUAAGAUUGAUGAUAUUGUAUCUGGCUUGCAAACAGGUGCCAAGAGCAAGAUGCUGCAACGGAUGGGAUGACUUUUGAUCACAAAACAUUAGUUGCUGUUGCUUCAGGAAUGCAUCAAGUGGUGUUGUGGAAAAUACCUGGGGCCGGGUUCAUGGUUGUCUCUAAUGCGGAUUCUCAUACUUGGUGACAAUCCUAGUUUCAUCAACUUUGUACAGUCGUUAGUUUUCUGAGAUCCUGAAAAUGCUUUUCAUGGAUAUAUUAUUCUUAUAUGAAGUGGCAGCAUGAACUAUAUGGUUGGGAUAAUCGUAAGUUUUUGUUUUUGGGUACUUUUUGUUCCAUCGUUCUGGGUAAUGACUCAAUAGAAGAUACAAAUAGAGCCUUAAAAGAGUUUCUUUCCUCAAGCCCGUUUGAUUAUAGUUACAGUUGGGAUAAUCGUAAGCUUGAUGAUGUAGAUUAUAUGCUGUAAUGUCGACAUGAACUAAUAGCUAUCCCAAAGUCUAAACC